rnacentral:rRNA from 1 species
AGAGCGAACGCUGGCGGCAGGCCUAAUACAUGCAAGUCGAACGCACCUUCGGGUGAGUGGCGGACGGGUGAGUAACACGUGGGAACGUGCCUUUUGGUUCGGAAUAAUCCGGGGAAACCUGGCCUAAUACCGGAUGUGCCCCCUCCUUUAACCAGGGGGGUGGGAAAGAUUUAUCGCCAUUAGAGCGGCCCGCGUCUGAUUAGCUUGUUGGUGAGGUAAAGGCUCACCAAGGCUACGAUCAGUAGCUGGUCUGAGAGGAUGAUCAGCCACACUGGGACUGAGACACGGCCCAGACUCCUACGGGAGGCAGCAGUAGGGAAUCUUGCGCAAUGGGCGAAAGCCUGACGCAGCCAUGCCGCGUGAAUGAUGAAGGUCUUAGGAUUGUAAAAUUCUUUCAGCGGGAAGAUAAUGACUGUACCCGCAGAAGAAGCUCGGCUAACUCGUGCCAGCAGCCGC